rnacentral:rRNA from 1 species
ACCCUUGGAAACGAGGGCUAAUACCCGAUACGCUGUGGAGUGAAAGAAUUUCGCUGAGGGAUGAUCUUGCGUCUGAUUAGCUAGUUGGUGUGGUAAUGGCACACCAAGGCGACGAUCAGUAGCUGGUCUGAGAGGAUGAACAGCCACAUUGGAACUGAGACACGGUCCAAACUCCUACGGGAGGCAGCAGUGGGGAAUUUUCCGCAAUGGACGAAAGUCUGACGGAGCGACGCUGCGUGAAGGAUGACGGCCUGCGGGUUGUAAACUUCUUUUCUCGAAGAAGAAGCUCUGACGGUAUUCGAGGAAUAAGCAUCGGCUAACUCCGUGCCAGCAGCCGCGGUAAGACGGAGGAUGCAAGUGUUAUUCGGAAUGAUUGGGCGUAAAGAGUCUGUAGGCUGUAUGGAAAGUCUUUUGUUAAAUGCCUCGGCUCAACCGAGAUCCAGCAAAGGAAACUUCUAUACUUGAGGAAAGUAGAGGUACAGGGAAUUCCCGGUGGAGCGGUGAAAUGCG